UAGGGAAUCUUCGGCAAUGGACGAAAGUCUGACCGAGCAACGCCGCGUGAGUGAAGAAGGUUUUCGGAUCGUAAAACUCUGUUGUUAGAGAAGAACAAGGACGUUAGUAACUGAACGUCCCCUGACUGUAUCUAACCAGAAAGCCACGGCUAACUACGUGCCAGCAGCCGCGGUAAUACGUAGGUGGCAAGCGUUGUCCGGAUUUAUUGGGCGUAAAGCGAGCGCAGGCGGUUUCUUAAGUCUGAUGUGAAAGCCCCCGGCUCAACCGGGGAGGGUCAUUGGAAACUGGGAGACUUGAGUGCAGAAGAGGAGAGUGGAAUUCCAUGUGUAGCGGUGAAAUGCGUAGAUAUAUGGAGGAACACCAGUGGCGAAGGCGGCUCUCUGGUCUGUAACUGACGCUGAGGCUCGAAAGCGUGGGGAGCAAACAGG
rnacentral:rRNA from 1 species